AAUGUCGUAACAAGGUUUUCCGUAGGUGAACCUGCGGAAGGAUCAUUAAUGGGAUCAUGCCCCUCGGGGUAGACUCCCACCCCCUGUUUACCGUACCCGUUGCUUUGGCGGUUCCCGUCGCGAGACGGGCCUGCCAGAGGCCUUUCAAACCCGUAUUAUCAUUGUCGUCUGAGUACUAUCAAUAGUUUAAAACC
rnacentral:misc_RNA from 1 species